AAGAAAAGAAACAGAAGAAUUUGAAGAAAAACAGGAAACGUCAGUUUCUCCUCCUUCGACCCAUUUCAGUUUUCCUUCCACAAACAACCCACCCAUGGAUUUCUAAAUCCAAAAUGGGUUUCUUGCACAAUAUCAAAUUCAUCUUCAAAUAAAAAUUCACAAUCAACCCAAAUAACUCAACAACCCAUUUUAUCCAUUCAAUUUCACCAAUCCAAUUGGGAACAAUUGAAGCUCAAACAAUGGCUAUAUAUACCCAUAUUUGCUCCACCAUUCCUCACUCAGUCAUCACUAACAAAUACACUCAAAAACCUCCUGAAUUACCACCGGAAAACGCCACCAAAAACACCCCUUAAAAUCUCUUGUUUUCGCACAACUCUCUCUCACUCCUCUGUUUUUCGAACCAACACCACCACAGCACCACCUUCUGUGGCUGCCACCCUCCACCGACAACCACCGACGCCCCUCACCACUACCACCUUGCGCCAACCACCGCACCUUCGCCUACCCAGCCGCCCCUCUCCCUCGUCCUCAUCUCUCUCGCUCAGCUCCUCUCUGCUCUCGCCCAGUUCUUUCUCUCUCCUCUGCUUGCUGCGUGCACCGCCAGACCACCGCUACAGCACCGACGAACCCGAGCCCACAGUCGCCGGAGUUUCGCGCCUUCCGUCGCUGCCGUUGGAGCCUCAACCCACUCCCAACGACCUCCCUCUCUUGCUCUCUUGUCGAGUCUGCUAAGUUGGAGCGGAGAUUAACAAGGAAGAGAUAUUACAAGCCUUCCCCUACGAUCAAGGUUGUUAAGCAGGAUUCCAGGUAUGCAUACGAAGAUGGGAUGACGUAGCAGUGAGGAUUAAAUUACGUUAAUUCAUGCGACUAUGACGGUUAUGUAAUCCAAGUUUAUGAUCACUAAAUUACGUAACAUUAGCUAUGCUUAAGCUAUCUAUAUAUAUAUUUUUAGAAUUACUAAAACUAUUAUAGAAGUUUAGUUAUAUGAAAGAAUGUUGCCUUGUACUUUCCUGUGUGGAGAGUACGACAGUGACACAUCGACUAAGCUAGGAAGGUCUUCCGCUGCUAAUCAUUGUAAUUAAUUAACCUAAUAGUGAUGCUUAAAAGUCGGGGCGUUACAUUAAGACUUUAGUAUAUGUACUUGAGGUCUCGAGAUCAAAUCUUAUAUUACGCAAUUUCUAAAUUUUUUUAUUGUACAUGGAUUACAUGAACUAAAACUCUCUAAGAAGAGCGCCAAGUGGCACAAUUUCUUGUUUAUGAAC